CCUCACCAGUGUUUCCUGCCCGUGGUCGUUCUAAAUUUUUUUGUUGUGGGUGCGCUCGCAGCACAAAUCUGGGUUGUGCUGAUCCUGUACGCACAAGUUAGGAACUCCUGAGUGGCAAGAGUGGGAGUUCGGUCUGACUGCUCAAGGGACACCGUUUUUCAGGUAUGUCUCUGGGUAAUGGAAUCAUCACACUGGAUGACUUGCAUUGAACAGAGCAGUCAUAAAUGGCGUACUGACCAAAGCCCUAAAAAUAUUUGGGAUUUUUUGCUGCCCUCGUGGCCGCUCUGCUGCUGCCGGGACUCGGAACAGCAUCCGCUUCGCCCACGAUCAACGCUGACAGUGCAGCUAAAGCCCUCUACGUGUGUAUAACGAACUGCUUCUAACACUAUCGAUAAGAAAUCUGCUUCAACCAGCUGCUUCUUACGUCAUCCGCUCUCCUGGGGCUCAGCCACCUACAAAAGGAGUCGUCCCCAUUUCAACUGCGCGAUUUGCAGUCAAGUUGUCAUCGUAGCUAAACCUGUCGUGAACUUCUUCCAGGUAGGUUUUACGCUGUAAUUUUUUUUUUCGGUUGCAAACUUUUUAGGGUGUGAACAUUAUGGGCGUUGAUGUCCAAAUGUACCGAGUGCGCAUUGGUCGAUUUUCAAAUAAAUAAAAACAAAGGUUGCACCACGUACCACCAGGACGUUGCAAUAUUUCCUGUCUUUGUUCGUUUGGUUGCUUAAGUUGUUUACUGUCGCAACCGUUAUGCUGGCGUUGCUUUCCACACCCGGGGAAAUUGAGACAAACCCUGGCCCUCUGACUUCCGAAGAAAAAAUGAACAAGUUGCAAGGUGCUAUCGAGGCAUUAACAAACGACUUCUGCUCGCUACCAACAAGAAAGCUCGCAGAAGCUAGGCGCAAUCAAUGGCGGGAUUGCCAAUUUCGGGUUACGGGUUCGUUGACCUUUGCCUUGAAGGCAAAAGUCAACGAAAUCACCAGGGUAAAAAAAAAAUGUUGCUACCCUUGCCAAAACGCUGGCUGAUGUUCUGCAUGAGCCCGCGAUUGUGCAUGAUCUCAGGACUUUGCUUACCGAAGGUCUUGACGACAUGAGAUAGCGAAUGCGGAAAAACAACUUUAUUCAGAAGGGCUUGUCCGAAGGUGAAAACGAGUCGUGGAGUGACACAGAGUCGUUGGUUUCGAACUUCAUAAAAGAAACAUCACUGAGAAAGAGCUCAUCGGCUUAAUCAAAGGUGAACCGGUUCGACCCGGCCGGUUAUUGUCAGGCUCCUAAGCUCUAUGACCAAAGAUGAGAUCCUACGAAAUGCUCGCAAACUAAAAAAAUGUGUUGUCUCCGAGAGUUUGGAUCUUUGAGGAUUUUCACUCAACGUGGAAUUCGCUAGGCAAACGUUGUGGAACUUUGCGUCCCAAUUUUAAGUUUAUGUUUAUUUCUCUUUCUUCAGAGCAAUAAACUUUCUGUUGUAAGUCAGCGCCCUGUCU